rnacentral:rRNA from 1 species
GAGUUUGAUCCUGGCUCAGGAUGAACGCUGGCGGCGUGCCUAAUACAUGCAAGUCGAACGAAACUUCUUUAUCACCGAGUGCUUGCACUCACCGAUAAAGAGUUGAGUGGCGAACGGGUGAGUAACACGUGGGCAACCUGCCCAAAAGAGGGGGAUAACACUUGGAAACAGGUGCUAAUACCGCAUAACCAUAGUUACCGCAUGGUAACUAUGUAAAAGGUGGCUAUGCUACCGCUUUUGGAUGGGCCCGCGGCGCAUUAGCUAGUUGGUGGGGUAAAGGCUUACCAAGGCAAUGAUGCGUAGCCGAACUGAGAGGUUGAUCGGCCACAUUGGGACUGAGACACGGCCCAAACUCCUACGGGAGGCAGCAGUAGGGAAUCUUCCACAAUGGGCGAAAGCCUGAUGGAGCAACGCCGCGUGGGUGAAGAAGGUCUUCGGAUCGUAAAACCCUGUUGUUAGAGAAGAAAGUGCGUGAGAGUAACUGUUCACGUUUCGACGGUAUCUAACCAGAAAGCCACGGCUAACUACGUGCCAGCAGCCGCGGUAAUACGUAGGUGGCAAGCGUUAUCCGGAUUUAUUGGGCGUAAAGGGAACGCAGGCGGUCUUUUAAGUCUGAUGUGAAAGCCUUCGGCUUAACCGGAGUAGUGCAUUGGAAACUGGGAGACUUGAGUGCAGAAGAGGAGAGUGGAACUCCAUGUGUAGCGGUGAAAUGCGUAGAUAUAUGGAAGAACACCAGUGGCGAAAGCGGCUCUCUGGUCUGUAACUGACGCUGAGGUUCGAAAGCGUGGGGAGCAAACAGG